GGCGUAGCAGCCCGAGCCAGACGACCAGACGACCAGACCUAGCCACGCGACGUGAGUUCCAGACCUCCAGGGAGCCGAGGCAGCCGCCGCCACCGGCCGGUGACUCCCCUCCAGUCCCCUGCUCGGCUGCUCCCCUCCCCUGACUUCGGCGCUCCCAUCCAGUCCCCUGCAGGCUGCAGCCCUGCUCGCCUGCUCGGCUGCGCUCCUCGCCUGGCUCGCCUGCUCUGCUUCUCCAGCCGGGCGCGGGGCGCCGCCGCGCCGGCUCUGCUCCUGCCCUGCUCCACCCUCCAGUCCUGCCGGCCUCUCCCGCCUCCCGGUCUCCCCCGGGCAACUGCUGCCCCGACUGCAGCCGAGAAUUAAAAGAUGAAGAUAUUUUAUUCAUCGGUGGCCGCAAUGGAAGUGUCUAAAUUUUUGGUGCAAUUGAGCCAUAUUUGAGAUAUUCUUUUGAGGUAGCUAUAGCCUGAUGGACGUUAAGUUUUUCUCUCGCGACGAAUUUUUUUUUUUGGGCCCGGGGCUUGCUCCAAUCCUGGCUCCGCCACUGGUCCCAGCUAUGUCCGACCUUUCUCAUUCCCUUCACUCUCAUCAGCUCCUCCUCUCGGUUUGAUUAGCCUCCCCAUCUGUCCACACUGCCAGUCCCUGGUUUCUACAGGUUUGUGAGACUUCAAGGUUUACAAGCUAGUGUGGCUUUAGUUGAGUGAGUGGAGACAGGUCAGGAAUCACCUCCCUAUUCAGCUAGGCUACACCAUCUUGAGAUUCAACCUGAACCAUGUUCCUUGAAAAGACAAGAGUAAACGGGAAAACUUACUUUGGGUUCAUAUGAUGCAGACCAAGAAUAAACGGUGCAGAUUUGGCUAGCAGCAAAAGAUGAAUGAAUAUAGUGAUGGAAAGCCAAAUUUAAAGUGGUAAUUUCCUUUCACUUCUUAUCCAGUCAUUUGCUAUAAUAAUUGAUAAGUGUUCCUUUCAGUGUUUUGAACUAAUUAUGGUUCCAGAAAUAGGUCGUAUGUAUGUUGCAAAUGAAAUGGUACAGAGCUUCAUCUAAUUUAUUGGUGUGAAUUGUUCUCAUCAUGUACCUGCCCUUUUAGUUAGCGGGAAACAUUGUGAUGCUCAGAUCUUAUGUGCCUAUUUUGAGAGCAGAAAAAUACGGAAAAUCAGCAUCUGAAGCUAAAUAAAAUGCACGCACUAUCCUCUUCUUCUGUGUAAUGGUGAGCUACACUUUGAUCUUGUCUCCACUGCUCUCAGUUGGGUUCUACCACACAUUACUAAAACUUUUUUUUGAACCGUAAAUGACCGUAGGAGACUUUUCCUACAGUCUUUGUAUUAAAAGAGUUAGUAAAGUCUUGUCAACCGAGUUACAUUGGGGGGGAGGGGGGCUGAGUACUUACAUUGUGUGGAGUGGUGCGGCAGGGUUAAAUGAGUGUGAUCCUAGAUAGGGGGCCACCCAUUACUAAAGCUUACACAUCAUUUUCAUUUAGAUUUGGUUAUUAUUGGCAUUAGAUUGUGCACACUGAAUGUGAGAACAGGGUCAGGUACUACCACGACGUACAUUCUACUGUGUCCAGUCCUCAAUGCUUAAUGUCCAUCUCUUUGUAGCUUUGCAAAGUUUCGGUGUAUCAUUGUCGUUUUACUGAUGGUCAAUGCAUAUGGGGAACAAAGUGAGGCUCUAUAGGAAGAAGCUCACAAAUUUGAGGCGUCUCUACAAGGAAGCCACACAUCCGUUAUUACAUUUGCCACAUGAGCAAGACCUUUGCCACUCAAAGAAUCCUAUACAUAUCACCUGCAAUUAUAUAUACAAUUCUUCUUAGUGUUGUUACCUUUGAUUUUGCAGUAUUUGUCCUGAUUGAUACUGUAUGAUUAUGUGUUGUUUUGCAGGUACUGAUCUUGGUGUCGAUUCCUACAUGAGCCAUCAGACACAACUUCGGUUGGUCAUAGGUUUCUUGGCUCUUUAGAGGAUUUGGGCCAGGGAUUCAAGAACUAAUGGUUUUCAUCCACACGUGUUUUAUUACGAUGCUAUCAAAAGCAGGGGCUGAGGUUUUCUUUCUUGGGCAACUGAGGCAGAAGAACCUGGUAAAUUGGUUGAGCAGUGCUAUGAGGAUGAACACAGGAUGCUGGUGUACAAGUUCAUGAGCAUUGGGAGCCCUAAGACACACCUCUUCAAAAGUAUAAAUUGCUCCCUUCCGUGGAUGACAAGGAUAAAAAUCGACAAGGAUGAAGAUUGCUAUUGGCGCGGCUAAGGGACUUUCUUGAUGCUAUCUCGCCAGUGAUCUACAAGGCCUACAACGUCUUGCUCGACUCGCGCGGGCUAUAACGUCAGUCUGAGCCUCCACGAGCUCGAUGCCCUCAGGGACCAGCACUCUACACGCUUGCCGAUGCAGUGGUCGUUUAGGUUGACUCGACGACUAGGUAGCAGCAGGAGCGGAUGUGAAAAAGCGGUGGUCAUCGAGGUCAACUUGACCUGCUAAGGGCCCGUUCGGAUCGUCUCCAGCUUCUAGCUUCGUCAUCUCCGCGCAUGGAGCAGGCCCGAACGCCGCAACUCCUAGAAGCUGGCUUCGUGGAGCAGCGUUGCCUCGCAGUGCAAAAACAAGAAGCAGCUCGAACCCGGCUCCCAAAAAUCGGAGGAGACGGAGUUGGGCAUUAUUACCCGAUAUGCCACCGCCAAGUGACCUCCGAGCAAUGUACCGGUUCACUUGAUCUGUUCUUUCUCUCCCCGAUACGUCCUCUCGCAGCGCCCUUGCAUAACUGGGCCAUCAACAGCUUGCCCUGGUACCAGCUGAAAGGGCCCAAUCGACCUUUCUGGGUUGGCAGCUCAUGCUGACCAAGCUGGAGCUGCCUCGCGCGGCCGAACGAUCGCUAGCUCCUCGCGGAAGCUAGCUGCGUUGGCUCCCGUAAGAAGCUGGCCUAAACAGAAGCCAGCGAGCUUCCGAACACGCCCUUAGUGUGCAUUUGCUUUUGAAGCACUUCUCUUCUUCGUAAUCAGUCAAUUAGGCUACAAAACUGCUACUUCUCUGUUCAUAUACGCUUAUCAAUAUGUAUGAUGCUCUCACCUAAUGUAUUUUGUGAAUGUGCAUUGCCAGUAUUGCAUUUCUACUGCUGUAUUUUAUUUUCCCAAUCAGUAAGAUGGUACUGUUACUACUA